AGGUUCACACUCGAUUGAGCAGAGCUGUGACAUAGAACACACACGUUGGCAAGCGUCACAAACCAACAUCCCCACAUGGAGGCGGGGGAAGAGACUCGCCACAGACAGGGCCGAGUGGAUUAUCAGAUAAUGUAUUAUAAUUUUUCCGAGACUUCAAGUCCGCUACCUAUACAAGACACGACACAAGCAGAAACAGACCACGAUGAGCGCAGGACGCCGGAAAAAACCGCGCUUAAUUGAUUCGAAGGAAAAUUUUAUGCGGAGCUUCACCAGACAUCAAUAUGACAUCUGAACAUAACGUAUCUCUUUCCGCUUUGAUAUCUAUUUCGGCGAUGUUGAAGGAAAGCUAAGCCGCGCCGACCAUGAAGAUCUCGAUGUGGAGAGAAUGUUGAAGCCUGCAAAGAAGAAAUUGAUCUUUAGCGAUGACGACAUGUCCCUGCUGCCAGCGACCCCACCUUCUGAUGCCCCGUUAGGACACGAGCCACAGGAGUCGCAGCAGCAGCCACAGCGGCAGCUGCAGCAGUAGUCACGGCCGCAACCUCCGGAGUCGCUGAUGGCACUAUCUGCCGAAACACAUCCGCGGAGGUCAGAUGAGCUGCCUGUAGGCGGCAAUGCACUAAUAAAAAAAAAAUUGUCCUAUCGCCUCUGCAUAACCUUUCUAAUAAUAAUUAUAAGGUGACUAUCAGUCAUAAAUAUUACGUCAGCAACCUUGCC